rnacentral:lncRNA from 1 species
GCCGGAGUGUUUGAAGAUUAGAUUAUUACCCUCUGAGGCCAGCAGGAUGGUGAUAGUGGACCCAAAGAAGGAUGCAAAGCAAGAGAGGAUCUGAAAACAAGCCCCAGUGACAAAGUGAGACCCUGUCCCAAGAAGAAGAAGGAAGGAGAAGGAGAAGAAGAAAGUGAGAAAGAAAGAAAGAAAGAAAGAAAGAAAGAAAGAAAGAAAGAAAGAAAGAAAGAAAGAAAGAAAGGGAAAGAAAGGAAAGAAAGAAAGAAAGAAAGGGAAAGAAAGGAAAGAAAGAAAGAAAGAAAGAAAGAAAGAAAGAAAGAAAGAAAGAGAAGGAGUAGGAGGAGGAAGGAGGAGAACAAGAACAAGAAAAGGGGGAGAACACAUUAAUGUAUGUAAGUUAAACAUAAAUUUACAGAAAUCUUUUAUAAUUUGCAGUGCAUGCUCUUUAUUCUUGAGCCAAAGAGACAUAGCUUAACCAAAGCUAACUAUAAUCAGUGAUGUCACACGACCACAAUUGCAACAGCAAGUUUGUGGCCCUUUAUCCCUUAUCACCCUUCCAACCACCUUGCUGUGGUUGAGUGCAGACUGCUUCCUUUGUCUGUUUUAAGCCUCCCCCUUUGAUUACUCUCUCUUUUCUGAGAUGUGUUUUCCCUUCCUGUAAAUAAGGUAUGACCUGUAAAACACAAGAGGAAAUGGGAGCAUAAAAAUUUGCAUGCUGUAAUUAAACUGCUGUAUCAUGAGCUUGCUUUCUUUGGUUAUGUUGGAAUGAAAACAAAGGUGUACUUCUGAAUCACAGUUUGGAGUGUUAUCCCUGGAAAAUGGAAAUGAAUAAAAUAGGCCAGGAAGGCUCGAAUGCCUUACAACCUUAAUGCAGCCCUGUGCCGUACUGUUUAUGGGUAAAGCACCUGGCAUCACAGUCCUUCCUGGAAUGGCCUUUAUCUCAGGUCUAAACCUCCUGUCCAGACUCCAAAGGCAGUUUGAUGUAGGAAGUAUGACUGAUGGCAACAGCACAGAGGAGGUAAGUGGUAUCUGCACUCAGAGGCCCCACUGCAACCCUACCCCUUCUCACCUCCCAGAACUCCAUCUAUUAAUUUCAGUGCAAAACAGGGAGACUGGGUUUCAUGCAAAUAUGUACUUCACUACCUUUACUCUUUUGCAAGAUUAAGACCCCUGAUAAAAAUCAAUACUGAGCCUGUGUCACUGGCUGUGGCAGUUGUUCUACUUUCUAAAGAGGUGUGGAUUAUGGAUGAUAAUUUGCCACCAAAGUGGUUUACAAUAAAAUAAUCCUUACAAACACUUAGUGAUCUUCACUGGCUCCAUUUGUAUUCCGGGUUUUCCCAUGUCCUUGCCUUUACUCUUGACGAUAUUCCCUCCUGCAAUACUAUGCCCACAUUUUCUCAGAGAUGAGCAAAGCAUGGGUCUAUCCACAAAGAAGGCCUUUGUAAUACAGCCAUAGCAUGUUUCUGGCCU